GACAAUUGGGCUAAAUGUUGCUUUGUUUCCAAGGAUCUUUUUCACAAUUUCAUCUGGAACAGGCUGUGCCUAAGACAGAGAAGAGAACUUCAAUGAAAAUGGACAUUUUUUUGCCCUCAUAAGACAGUUGAUUUUUUUGAGCAAGAAAGGCAUUUUACUACCAAUGGACACAUUAUUCUUCAAGAAAGGGGAUAUUCUGUGAUUAUUUCCAAUAAUACGCUCUCAAGCAGCUGGAAAAAAAGUAGGGCCUCACAGGAAGUGAAUAAAGACUUACAUACAUUUGACCUCUUCUAGAACUGGUGGAUGUGAGUGGCAAAAAUCUUUUGACAAUGUCAUUGGGUAUCAUCUAAUCAAAAUAAAUAUGCCUAUUAUCCUUGGACCCAGCAGUGCCAUCUGCUGAUGUCUUUCUUACCAGCACACGCAGCACAGCAUUCCUUGUAAUGACCAGGCUUGAAGGAGUCUGCAUUCCCAUCAGCAAGGGAGUGAGAAAGGAAACUGAAAUAUAAUAAUGAAAUGACCUCAGCUGAAUGUUUGAAGCAGGAAACUAAAGACCAGGUGGUUAGAGAAGGCACAAGAGGGAAUGAAGAAUGAGCUAUUGACCUUCAACUACAGUGAAGUCCUGACUUGUGUCCACCUCACCCAGCAUCAUGAACCCUGCCCCCAAGGCU